CACGUAGGGCGCGAGCGUUGUCCGGAAUUAUUGGGCGUAAAGAGCUCGUAGGUGGUCCGCCGCGUCUGCUGUGAAAAUCCAGGGCUUAACCCUGGACUUGCAGUGGAUACGGGCGAACUAGAGGUAGGUAGGGGAGAAUGGAAUUCCCGGUGUAGCGGUGAAAUGCGCAGAUAUCGGGAGGAACACCGGUGGCGAAGGCGGUUCUCUGGGCCUUACCUGACACUGAGGAGCGAAAGCGUGGGGAG
rnacentral:rRNA from 1 species